UAGGGAAUCUUCGGCAAUGGACGGAAGUCUGACCGAGCAACGCCGCGUGGGUGAAGAAGGUUUUCGGAUCGUAAAGCUCUGUUGUAAGAGAAGAACGAGUGUGAGAGUGGAAAGUUCACACUGUGACGGUAACUUACCAGAAAGGGACGGCUAACUACGUGCCAGCAGCCGCGGUAAUACGUAGGUCCCGAGCGUUAUCCGGAUUUAUUGGGCGUAAAGCGAGCGCAGGCGGUUAGAUAAGUCUGAAGUUAAAGGCUGUGGCUUAACCAUAGUACGCUUUGGAAACUGUUUAACUUGAGUGCAGAAGGGGAGAGUGGAAUUCCAUGUGUAGCGGUGAAAUGCGUAGAUAUAUGGAGGAACACCGGUGGCGAAAGCGGCUCUCUGGUCUGUAACUGACGCUGAGGCUCGAAAGCGUGGGGAGCAAACAGGAUUAGAUACCCUGGUAGUCCACGCCGUAAACGAUGAGUGCUAGGUGUUGGGUCCUUUCCGGGACUCAGUGCCGCAGCUAACGCAUUAAGCACUCCGCCUGGGGAGUACGACCGCAAGGUUG
rnacentral:rRNA from 1 species